rnacentral:tRNA from 1 species
GCUCUCUUAGCUCAGUUGAUAAAGCACUUCACUCGUAACGAGGGGGUCACAAGUAGAACCUUGUAGAGAGCA